ensembl:ncRNA C09B7.6 ncRNA
CAUCGUGUCAAAACACCCUCUCCGAAUUGUGGGGUGCCAAUCCGCUACUCGCUUCCGAAACUUCAAUUAGGCCACAACAAAGGGCAUCACUUGCACAUUGGGCUGUCAAGAAUCAUCUAAUUCG